GACGAACGCUGGCGGCGUGCUUAACACAUGCAAGUCGAACGAUGAGGCCGGAGCUUGCUCUGGUGAAUUAGUGGCGAACGGGUGAGUAACACGUGAGUAACCUGCCCUUGACUCUGGGAUAACUGCGGGAAACUGUAGCUAAUACCGGAUACGACCCUCGGAGGCAUCUCCUGGGGGGGGAAAGAAUGUCGGUCAAGGAUGGACUCGCGGCCUAUCAGCUAGUUGGUGAGGUAAAGGCUCACCAAGGCGACGACGGGUAGCCGGCCUGAGAGGGUGACCGGCCACACUGGGACUGAGACACGGCCCAGACUCCUACGGGAGGCAGCAGUGGGGAAUAUUGCACAAUGGGCGCAAGCCUGAUGCAGCAACGCUGCGUGAGGGAUGACGGCCUUCGGGUUGUAAACCUCUUUUAGCAGGGAAGAAGCGAAAGUGACGGUACCUGCAGAAAAAGCACCGGCUAACUACGUGCCAGCCGCCGCCGUAA
rnacentral:rRNA from 1 species